UAUUUUCGUAAGUCAUAAUAAAAAUUUUCACUGUACCGUGGUAGCGGCGAAAUAUGUACGGCGUGACAUUUAUUCCGCAAACAACGACGCUAACGUGAGCUUCUCACUCUCCUCGACAAAUUCCAUUAACGCCAUCGUUUUCACUGCUUUCGUCCCUCAGGUCUGGUUUUAUUCUCAAUAUCUCUCUCUCUAUUUACCUCUUUCUCUCUUUACGCUUUACUAAUUCUCUUAAAAACCCUAGAUUUUUGUUAUUUCCUUGUUUGAAAUCUUAUUUCUUCAUUGGAUUCCAUGCACGAGAGAGAGAGAGAGAGAGAGUAGGACCAAGGCAUUGACGAUAAGAAACUCUAUCCAUUUUUAUCUGUGAAUAUAAUUUUUUUUGGUGAAUAUUUAAGGAUUUGAUAAGUGUUGGAACAUUUGAUUUUGGCUAUGGCUUCAGUUGCUUGAAGGAGGGAAUCUUUAUUCGAAAUUAUGAGCUUUAAUUUUUUGGUAAUUGAGAGAUGGAAAGUGAUGAUGGUUCAAAUUCCAAGGCAGGUCCGCAAUUGCAAUUUGAUUUGGGGAAUAAUGUUGAGCUAGGGUUAGAAAAGGUUUCAUUACAGAAAUCGUUGAAACCUAGGAACAAGAAAAUGGAUGGUAGUAAGGGUUCUAAGAAAAGAUUACAGGUCAAAGCAGUGGAGGUUGGUCUUGAUUCAGAUGAUGAUGAGCCCAUUGGGUCUUUGUUGACAAGGAAACCUAAGAAUGCUAAAAUGGUUAAGUCUGGCUUGGAGGGCAGUGUUGAGAAGUGCCAGAACGUCGAUGUUAAGGCAGGUAAAACCCUGGGCGAGGAUGAGGAGGAUUUGGGGGGAAUGAAUGAUACGUUGGCGAGCUUUAGGAAGAAGUUAAAGGGUCCUAAAAAAGAUAUUGAACUGGGAGCAAUGAGGGGAAGGGGUUAUUCUUUGAAUGAGUCUGUCGAGGAUGGUGAGGUUUUGAAUGAGAAAUCUGUGUCAAACACUGGAGCUAAGGGUCAGGAUAUUGGUGAAGAUAGGUCUGAUGUGGUUAAUGAUAAAGGGGUCGAACAAAAGCGUACAUUGAAAGUAAGGAGUAACACGUUUGAUUCAAAAGCAAAGCCCAGUGGGGUUGAUGAUGAAUCAGAAGGGUUGGAAUCUCAACUUGAGAAAGAUCAGAAUGAGGGAAGCAUGUGGCCUGGAGAAGGAUCGAAUCAAUCUUUGGAUGAGAAGUUGGAAGGGUUAUUGUCAACCUUUAUUCACAGGUCUCAAUCUGUUUCACUAAGGAAAUCUUGCCCAAAUUCUAGUUCGAAACGGAAUUGCAAAGCCACCCAUCAUGCUUCUGCUUCAACAAACCCUAGCAAAAAUUGCGAUGAUUUUGUAUGCAAUACAGCUGAGGACCAAAGAUUUGACGGUGGUGUGUGUCAACAAGAAAGCAUUUUGGAACCAUGUGAUUUAGAUGUUCAAAAGGGUCGUAUAGAGGAUCUGAGCAGGUCGCCUAAAGUUUGUGACAAGGAUUCUGACACUGCAUUCCGGGACAAUUGUUUGGGAAUUGACCAGAGGGGUAAACCAGAAAGUGAAGGUCUAAAGGAUGGAUUAAAGCUUCAAUCUACAGGUAAAACAGGCAGUUCAGUGCGCUGUGUAGUAGAAAUGCCCAACUCUCUUUCUUCCUCAAAGCAGAUGGAAGCAAACCUUGGGUCUGGUAGUGGAGGUUUGUUUCUGCAACCUGUGGACAUUUCAAGUGCAGAUCCGGAAAUUUCUUUAGCUGGGAAAGAGAACUCUAAUGAUGAGUUGUUAAACAAGUCUUACAAAAAUGCAUAUGAAAAGGCUGCAAAAUUAGAAAGUCAUUAUAAUCUGUCUCUGUCUGCUGUUGAUUCACUGAAGAUGGAAGAGACUUGCAGUGAUGGUCCAAAUACUUGUGCUGAGGAAAAAUUUUUAGAAACCUCUGUUUAUCCCAAACUUGUUUCCAUUCAGAGGUGCAACUUUGCUUUCCAUCAACAAUCGGAAAGGGCAUGCCAUGGGCCCUGUGUUCACAGCCGUGGUAGUCUUUUCAUCAAUGAAGAGGCUAAUGGAGAUUCUUCCACAUCUUUAACACCUGAUGAAAAUGAAAGUUGCCAUGAAGAUGCAGUCUCUCUGCCUAGUUCUGACAUCAAAGACAGUAAGUCAUCAGUUUUCCAGCGACGUGGGCGCAAUAUUAAAAAACGUAGGCAUGGAGAUAUGGCUUAUGAAGGGGAUGCUGAUUGGGAGAAUUUGAUGAAUGAGCAAGGUUUUUUUGGAAGUCAACAUUUUGUGGACAGUGAUUGUUCCGUCAGAGCAAGAGAGAAGUUUGAUGAGGCAGCAGUAUCAGCUGGACUGAAAGCUCGUUCUGUGGGUCCAGUUGAGAAGAUCAAAUUCAAGGAGGUCUUGAAGUGUAGAGGUGGGCUACAGGAAUAUUUGGAAUGCAGGAAUCAUAUCUUAGGUCUCUGGAGUAAAGAUGUUACCCGUAUUUUGCCUAUUGUUGACUGUGGUGUUAGUGAUACUCCUUCAGAGGGUGAACCACUGCGAGCUUCCUUAAUUAGGGAGACAUAUGCAUUUCUUGAUCAGAGUGGUUAUAUAAACUUUGGAAUUGCUUCCAAGAAAGAGAAGGCAGAACUUAGUGCUAAGCAUAACUACAAACUUCUAGAGGAAAAAAAUUUUGAGGGUAGCUCUGGGGCCUCUGUUGCUGAUUCAGAGGAUGGGGUUGCCUUCAUCCUUGGUCAGGUCAAGACUUCUGAAGGUACUAUGGAUGCAAAGAAUGUUGUUAGAGUUGAUGAUCAAAACCAGGCAUCUGAAGCCACGAUAUCUGAAGUAUUGGUUAAUUCUAUCACAUCAGAAUUACCUUAUGUAAAAGAACAAGAAGAAUACCCAAGUGAUUCUUGCCAGCAAAAUGGAUGCAUUGAUGCAAAAUUAAACCCUGGAUUGAUUAGUUUUCACGUUCCAAGUGCUGAUCUAUCUUUUGAUGCAGUUGAAAUGGGAAUAGCCCCUGUAACAACUCUGGAAGAAGGGAGUGACUCACAAUAUGUUCAAUCUGCAGCUUAUGAUAAUCCUGACAGGAAUCAACACCAGCAGGGUGAUUCAGAGGUCAGGAAGAAAAUCAUAGUUGUUGGAGCUGGUCCUGCUGGAUUGACUGCUGCAUGCCACUUGCAACGUCAGGGAUUUUCUGUAGUUGUACUUGAGGCUAGGGAUAGGAUAGGAGGUCGUGUUUAUACUGAUCGCUCCUCUCUUUCAGUACCUGUGGAUCUUGGUGCUAGCAUUAUUACUGGAGUUGACGCUGAUGUGUCAACUAAUAGAAGACCAGAUCCUUCCUCAUUGGUUUGUGCACAGUUGGGGCUAGAGUUAACUGUGUUAAAUAGUGCAUGUCCUCUUUAUGACAUUGUAUCUGGUCAAAAGGUUCCUGCAGAUCUGGAUGAUGCUCUGGAAGCUGAAUACAACGCUCUUCUUGAUGAUAUGGUGUUUCUUGUUGCUCAAAAAGGUGAAAAAGCAAUGAGAAUGUCUCUUGAGGAUGGUUUAGAAUAUGCCCUUAGAAGGCAUCGCAUGGAAAAAAUAGGAGCAGAUAUUGGAGAAACAGAAUUACAUUCUUCAAUUGAUGCUUUCUAUGAUUCCAAAUCAAGCAAUGUCAUUGGAAAAUUUCCUGAAGAAAAAUAUUCUGAAGAGGAGAUUUUGAGUCCCCUUGAGAGAAGGGUUAUGAAUUGGCACUACGCCCACUUGGAGUAUGGUUGUGCUGCUUCACUUAAGGAAGUGUCUCUUCCCCAUUGGAAUCAAGAUGAUGUUUAUGGUGGCUUUGGAGGAGCUCAUUGUAUGAUUAAAGGAGGUUACAGCAAAGUAGUUGAGUCUCUUGGAGAAGGACUUCCCAUCCACUUGAACCAUGUAGUCACUAACAUUUUGUACAGCCCAAAGGGCGCAAAGGGCUCUGGAAUUGACGAUAUUCAACAUAGGCAGGUCAAAGUUUCCAUAUCAAAUGGCAGUGAAUUUUCAGGAGAUGCUGUGCUUGUUACUGUGCCACUUGGUUGCUUGAAAGCAGGAGCCAUAAAGUUUUCUCCUCCAUUGCCCCAAUGGAAACAUUCUUCCAUACAGCGGCUUGGUUUCGGAGUUCUUAAUAAAGUUAUCUUGGAAUUUCCAGAAGUGUUUUGGGAUGAUACCGUGGAUUACUUUGGAGUGACUGCUGAGGAAACAGAUAGUAGGGGCCAUUGCUUUAUGUUUUGGAACGUCAGAAAAACUGUUGGUGCUCCUGUUCUCAUAGCCUUAGUGGCUGGUAAGGCAGCUAUUGAUGGUCAAUGUAUGAGAUCAUCGGAUCAUAUAAAACAUGCAGUAAUUGCUCUCCGUAAACUUUUUGGAGAGGCUUCAGUUCCUGAUCCAGUUGCCUCUGUAGUGACUGAUUGGGGCAGGGAUCCUUUCAGCUAUGGUGCUUACUCCUAUGUUGCCAUUGGAGCAUCGGGAGAAGACUAUGAUAUGUUGGGCAAGCCCGUUGAGAACUGCUUAUUUUUUGCUGGAGAAGCUACUUGCAAGGAGCAUCCUGACACAGUUGGUGGUGCAAUGUUGAGUGGACUUCGGGAGGCUGUGCGACUGAUUGACAUACUCACCACUGGAAAUGAUUAUACAGCUGAAGUAGAGGCAAUGGAGACUGCACAGAGACAAUCAGAAUCGGAAAGGGAUGAAGCUAGGGACAUAAUCAAGAGACUUGAAGCAGUUGAACUUUCUAAUGGCUUGUACAAAAACUCUUUGGACCGAGCUCGGCUUUUGUCCAGGGAAGCUUUACUACGGGAUAUGUUCUUCAAUGUGAAAACCACUGCAGGACGAUUGCAUCUGGCCAAAAAGUUGUUGGGUCUCCCACUAGAAUCCUUAAAAUCCUUUGCUGGGACAAAGGAGGGGCUUACCACACUCAACUCAUGGAUGCUGGAUUCGAUGGGAAAAGAUGGUACUCAACUGUUGCGCCAUUGUGUUCGUCUUCUUGUGCUUGUUUCAACUGAUCUACUUGCAGUUCGUUCAUCAGGCAUAGGGAAAACUGUUAAGGAAAAAGUUUGUGUACAUACAAGUCGUGACAUACGUGCUAUAGCAAGCCAGCUAGUUAAUGUGUGGCUUGAAGUGUUCCGUAAGGCAAAAGCUUCUUCAAUGAGGAAAUCCCUUAAAGAUCCUGCCCCAGGAAAGCCACCUCUACGCUCGCAUCAUGCUACUUUAGAGAGUAAACGAACCUUGCAGGAUUCUUUUUCUGUUGGAAACCAGUAUCCUUUCAAUGUGAAAGAGAAUGGUAAAUCAAUUGAUAUGGAGAUGGAAGCCGUCAACCUAGCAAUGUCUGAGGAAGAGCAGGCUGCCUUUGCUGCUGAAGCAGCUGCUCGAGCUGCAGCAAAAGCUGCUGCUGAGGCACUUGCAUCCACAGAAGCCAACUGCAACAAAUUGCCACAGCUUCCCAAGAUUCCUUCAUUUCACAAAUUUGCGAGAAGGGAGCAAUAUGCACAAAUGGAUGAAAGGAAGUGGCCUGGUGGUGUUUUGGGAAGGCAAGAUUGUAUAUCAGAAAUAGACUCUAGGAACUGCAGAGUUAGGGACUGGUCUGUUGAUUUCUCUGCUGCUUGUGUUAACCUUGACGGUUCCAGAAUGUCAGUAGAUAAGCUGUCUCAGAGGAGCCAUUCGAAUGAGAUUGCUAGCCACUUGAAACUUAGAGAGCACUCUGGAGAAAGUUUGGCUGUGGACAGCAGUAUCUUCACAAAAGCAUGGGUUGAUACUGCUGGUAGUGGGGGGAUUAAGGAUUAUCAUGCCAUUGAAAGAUGGCAGUCUCAAGCUGCUGCUGCUGAUUCAGAUUUCUUCCAUCCAACAAUGCAUGCCAAGGAUGAGGAAGAUUCAAAUACUAGUUCAAGGCAACCAAAAUGGAAGCAUGAUGGACGAGCGAAUGAGAGCUCCAUCUCCCAAGUUACAGUAAACAAGGAGCAAUUUAAAAAUCAUCCUAGUGGAGCUAAUCGUAUUAAGCAGGCUGUUGUUGAUUAUGUUGCAUCAUUGCUAAUGCCCCUUUAUAAGGCAAGAAAAAUUGAUAAGGACGGAUACAAAUCGAUAAUGAAGAAAACUGCAACAAAGGUAAUGGAGCAGGCGACAGAUGCAGAGAAAAACAUGGCUGUUUCUGAAUUUCUUGAUUUCAAGCGCAAAAAUAAGAUUCGUUCCUUUGUGGACAAAUUGAUUGAGAGGCACAUGGCAAUGAAGCCAGUCAGUAAACAUUGAUGGUGUUAAGGAUUGACUGGUUAUGCUUUAUUGGACGCUACACUGCAAGACCUAUGAAAGCUUCCUCUGCAUGAGUUCACUGCCCUUAAUGAUGGUGGUGCUGCACAAAGAGUUCUACAAUCUGCAGUUCAUGAUCCGGAAGGUGUCAUUGGAAGGAAAAACAUGGUUUUGUGUUUUACAAUCUUGAUUGACCCUCAAAACAAAGCAAAAGUUGCUCAAGUUGAUGCUUUCUUGCCAAUUUUAUCGGAACUGGCACUGGAAUAUGUUUGAGGAGGCUGUAUUUGGAUGUUGAAUUGGCUUCUUUAUUAUAUAUGGGCUCAAUAAAAGUGUUGUGGCUCAUCUAUCUCAUCUGGGUUUUGGGCAAUCGUGUGGCAUUGAAGAUGACAUCAAGAUCCUUAUAUGAAUUGGCUUAAUGACGUUGUACUUCAAAGGGUGGUAGUCAAGACCCAAAAUUUUAUUCUGAAUCCAUUCUGACAGAUGAGACAUUACUGGUUGGCAUAAUGUUGCGGUUCUGGCCGAUGAGAGGUAUGUGCUCUUUUACCUUUUAUGUACUGAAUUCCUAGUGCCUAGAAACUAUUGUGUAACUGUGACCACAAGUUGGAUGCUGAUGUUGCAAAGAUCCAAUUAAUAUAGCUGAAGCUUGAUUAUUUUUACAUUAUCUUUUGUCUCGGAUGUUCAGCAUUUUAUUUGCAUCAACUUUGAAGGUUUGUAAGCAAUAGAACAAACUAGAUGAAAGUGCUUUAACAUGAUGGUUUCAUUCCUGUCAAAGUAUAAAGGCGGAGUAGAGAUGUAUACUGGUACUCCAUGGAACUUGACUGCUUCUGAAGAAUUAAACCCUUAUCUCAGGCUAAUUGAGGUAUGGCGGGUUUGAGCCGUGACUGACUAUUUAGGACUCAAUGUAUUUGGUGACAGUUGAAAUCCUAAUGAUUAUGGGGUUCAUUCAGUUACAAGUGGACGUAUUUAUUUGAAAAAUUGCUUUGCAUUUUAUCUUUUAUUGUUGGUUGAUAACUUAAGCAUGUAAAACUUCACCCAUAAAGAAGAGGGGAGAUGAGGAAAGGGUGUGGGCGGGGGAUUCUGUGAAAAGAUGGGUCUUGCUUGAACAAUGGUCAUCCCCCCUAACGAAACCAGACUCGGAGUUUAGUUUGGGCCAUUCUUUUUUGUUUUCAGAUCAUAAUGUUUUUCUUUAAUGUUAUCCCGCUUCAGAUUCAAUUAAGCCCCAAUAAUAAAACUUU